rnacentral:rRNA from 1 species
UACAGAGGUCCCAAGCGUUGUUCGGAUUCACUGGGCGUAAAGGGUGCGUAGGCGGUCGGGUAAGUCUGAUGUGAAAUCUCACAGCUUAACUGUGAAACUGCAUUGGAUACUAUCCGGCUAGAGGAAUGGAGGGGAGACUGGAAUACUUGGUGUAGCAGUGAAAUGCGUAGAUAUCAAGUGGAACACCAGUGGCGAAGGCGAGUCUCUGGACAUUUCCUGACGCUGAGGCACGAAAGCCAGGGAAGCAAACGGG